rnacentral:snRNA from 14 species
GGCUUUGUGCAGUGGCAGUAUUGUAGCCAGUGAGGUUUAUCUGAGGUGUGAUUAUUGCUAAUUGAAAAGUAUGGCCUCAGUGUUCACCCUCUUAGCUAUAAAUGUGUCCAGUUUCUCAUUUUUUGUCUGAGUAGUACUCCAUUUUAUAUAAAAAAUCAU